GUGAGACAGGAAUGGGACUUCUCACUCCCGUCAUGGACUCAAUCCAGAACUGGCAGCUCAGUUUUCAGGCUUCAGACUGUCCUUGACCUGAAGGUUAAGUUUCACUGGGAAGUCAUCCUUGUCUGCCUAGGAACUUGUCUGUCUCCUGUCACUAUCACUGGUAGCUUCAUCAGGAAAAUGCAAUUUGAUAUAUGUGUUCAGGAAGAAAGUAUUGGAGAAUGGUGCACUCUCUAAAGGGCUGCCUGGUGAAUGUUCUGGAGAAAGGGCAUUAUCCAGCUAGGAGGAAAUGGCAGAAGUCAUGAAAUAGAAGAAAGGCAGAAGAAAAUGGAGAUUGGAGGGUGGCUUUUGUGGCCUUAUAUACUGAAAUUGAUCAUUGAACUGAGUUGCCUGCCUGCAAGAGAAAACGCUCUCCAGAAUUGCUGUGGUGUGCUUUCAAGUUCCCAGCCUAGCCGCACUCCAGAAUCACACCAUCCCCGGCCUAAUGAAUCAGCAUCUCCAAGAUUGGCAAAAGUGCUGCUAUCAAGGACAAGUCGAAUGGCUCCUGUGUGGCUGCUUCCCUGGCUCUUGAGCUAUGCAGUGUUAAUACAAGUGGGGAAGGCGCAACAGAAGACAGCUGUGUUUAACUUCACGUCAACUUUGUUAGCUUUUUUCUAAUUACAUUACCAAAUUCCAUUACACAAGGGUCAGGAAUUAACAUUUUUAACAUCAACGAUUUAUAUUAUUUUUAUGAUUUAAAUUAUUAAAAUGACUUAAGUUGUUCUUAGUCACUUGUUAUUAUUCUCAUUUGUGUUCAUUGCU
rnacentral:lncRNA from 13 species